UACGUAGGGGGCAAGCGUUGUCCGGAAUCAUUGGGCGUAAAGAGCGUGUAGGCGGCUCGAUACGUCUGCUGUGAAAGUCCAGGGCUCAACCCUGGAAGGCCGGUGGAAACUGUCGGGCUAGAGUCCGGAAGAGGCGAGUGGAAUUCCCGGUGUAGCGGUGAAAUGCGCAGAUAUCGGGAGGAACACCAAUGGCGAAGGCAGCUCGCUGGGACGGUACUGACGCUGAGACGCGAAAGCGUGGGGAGCGAACAGG
rnacentral:rRNA from 1 species